rnacentral:rRNA from 1 species
AGACCCGAAACCCGGUGAUCUAGCCAUGGGCAGGUUGAAGGUUGGGUAACACUAACUGGAGGACCGAACCGACUAAUGUUGAAAAAUUAGCGGAUGACCUGUGGCUGGGGGUGAAAGGCCAAUCAAACCGGGAGAUAGCUGGUUCUCCCCGAAAGCUAUUUAGGUAGCGCCUCGUGAAUUCAUCUCCGGGGGUAGAGCACUGUUUCGGCUAGGGGGCCAUCCCGGCUUACCAACCCGAUGCAAACUGCGAAUACCGGAGAAUGUUAUCACGGGAGACACACGGCGGGUGCUAACGUCCGUCGUGAAGAGGGAAACAACCCAGACCGCCAGCUAAGGUCCCAAAGUCAUGGUUAAGUGGGAAACGAUGUGGGAAGGCCCAGACAGCCAGGAUGUUGGCUUAGAAGCAGCCAUCAUUUAAAGAAAGCGUAAUAGCUCACUGGUCGAGUCGGCCUGCGCGGAAGAUGUAACGGGGCUAAACCAUGCACCGAAGCUGCGGCAGCGACGCUUAUGCGUUGUUGGGUAGGGGAGCGUUCUGUAAGCCUGUGAAGGUGUGUCGUGAGGCAUGCUGGAGGUAUCAGAAGUGCGAAUGCUGACAUAAGUAACGAUAAAGCGGGUGAAAAGCCCGCUCGCCGGAAGACCAAGGGUUCCUGUCCAACGUUAAUCGGGGCAGGGUGAGUCGACCCCUAAGGCGAGGCCGAAAGGCGUAGUCGAUGGGAAACGGGUUAAUAUUCCCGUACUUGGUGUUACUGCGAAGGGGGGACGGAGAAGGCUAUGUUGGCCGGGCGACGGUUGUCCCGGUUUAAGCGUGUAGGUGUGUGUUCCAGGUAAAUCCGGUUCACUUUAACACUGAGGCGUGACGACGAGGCACUACGGUGCUGAAGCAACAAAUGCCCUGCUUCCAGGAAAAGCCUCUAAGCAUCAGGUAACAUCAAAUCGUACCCCAAACCGACACAGGUGGUCAGGUAGAGAAUACCAAGGCGCUUGAGAGAACUCGGGUGAAGGAACUAGGCAAAAUGGUGCCGUAACUUCGGGAGAAGGCACGCUGACACGUAGGUGAAGUGAUUUACUCAUGGAGCUGAAGUCAGUCGAAGAUACCAGCUGGCUGCAACUGUUUAUUAAAAACACAGCACUGUGCAAACACGAAAGUGGACGUAUACGGUGUGACGCCUGCCCGGUGCCGGAAGGUUAAUUGAUGGGGUCAGCGCAAGCGAAGCUCCUGAUCGAAGCCCCGGUAAACGGCGGCCGUAACUAUAACGGUCCUAAGGUAGCGAAAUUCCUUGUCGGGUAAGUUCCGACCUGCACGAAUGGCGUAAUGAUGGCCAGGCUGUCUCCACCCGAGACUCAGUGAAAUUGAACUCGCUGUGAAGAUGCAGUGUACCCGCGGCAAGACGGAAAGACCCCGUGAACCUUUACUAUAGCUUGACACUGAACAUUGAGCCUUGAUGUGUAGGAUAGGUGGGAGGCUUUGAAGCGUGGACGCCAGUCUGCGUGGAGCCGACCUUGAAAUACCACCCUUUAAUGUUUGAUGUUCUAACGUGGACCCGUAAUCCGGGUUGCGGACAGUGUCUGGUGGGUAGUUUGACUGGGGCGGUCUCCUCCUAAAGAGUAACGGAGGAGCACGAAGGUUGGCUAAUCCUGGUCGGACAUCAGGAGGUUAGUGCAAUGGCAUAAGCCAGCUUGACUGCGAGCGUGACGGCGCGAGCAGGUGCGAAAGCAGGUCAUAGUGAUCCGGUGGUUCUGAAUGGAAGGGCCAUCGCUCAACGGAUAAAAGGUACUCCGGGGAUAACAGGCUGAUACCGCCCAAGAGUUCAUAUCGACGGCGGUGUUUGGCACCUCGAUGUCGGCUCAUCACAUCCUGGGGCUGAAGUAGGUCCCAAGGGUAUGGCUGUUCGCCAUUUAAAGUGGUACGCGAGCUGGGUUUAGAACGUCGUGAGACAGUUCGGUCCCUAUCUGCCGUGGGCGCUGGAGAACUGAGGGGGGCUGCUCCUAGUACGAGAGGACCGGAGUGGACGCAUCACUGGUGUUCGGGUUGUCAUGCCAAUGGCACUGCCCGGUAGCUAAAUGCGGAAGAGAUAAGUGCUGAAAGCAUCUAAGCACGAAACUUGCCCCGAGAUGAGUUCUCCCUGAGACUUA